GCUGCGUGGGAUCUCCCAGCUACCUGCAGUAGCCACCAUGUCUUGGGUCCUGCUGCCUGUACUUUGGGUCAUUGUUCAAACUGAAGCAAUAGCCAUAAAGCAAACACCUGAAUUAACGCUCCAUGAAAUAGUUUGUCCUAAAAAACUUCACAUUUUACACAAAAGAGAGAUUGAGAACAACCAGACAGAAAAGCAUGGCAAAGAGGAAAGGUAUGAACCUGAAGUUCGAUAUCACAUGAUCUUAAAUGGGGAAGAAAUCAUUCUGUCCCUACAAAAAACCAAGCAUCUCCUGGGGCCAGACUACACUGAAACAUUGUACUCACCCAGAGGAGAGGAAAUUACCAUGAAACCUGAGAACAUGGAACACUGUUACUAUAAAGGAAACAUCCUAAAUGAAAAGAAUUCUGUUGCCAGCAUUAGUACUUGCGACGGGUUGAGAGGAUACUUCACACAUCAUCAUCAAAGAUACCUGAUAAAACCUCUGAAAAGCACAGAUGAGAAACAACAUGCCGUCUUUACAUCUAACCAGGAGGAACAAGACCCAGUUAACCACACAUGUGGUGUGAGGAGCACUGACGGGAAACAAGGCCCAAUUCGAAUCUCUAGAUCACUCAAAAGCCCAGAGAAAGAAGACUUUCUUCGGGCACAGAAAUACAUUGAUCUCUAUUUGGUGCUGGAUAAUGCCUUUUAUAAGAACUAUAAUGAGAAUCUAACUCUGAUAAGAAGCUUUGUGUUUGAUGUGAUGAACCUACUCAAUGUGAUUUAUAACACCAUAGAUGUUCAAGUGGCCUUGGUAGGUAUGGAAAUCUGGUCCGAUGGGGAUAAGAUAAAGGUGGUGCCCAGCGCAAGCACCACGUUUAACAACUUCCUGAGAUGGCAUAGUUCCAACCUGGGGAAAAAGAUCCACGACCAUGCUCAGCUUCUCAGUGGGAUUAGCUUCAACAAUCGACGUGUGGGACUGGCAGCUUCAAAUUCCUUGUGUUCCCCAUCUUCGGUUGCUGUUAUUGAGGCUAAAAAAAAGAAUAAUGUGGCUCUUGUAGGAGUGAUGUCACAUGAGCUGGGCCAUGUUCUUGGUAUGCCUGAUGUUCCAUUCAACACCAAGUGUCCCUCUGGCAGUUGUGUGAUGAAUCAGUAUCUGAGUUCAAAAUUCCCAAAGGAUUUCAGUACAUCUUGCCGCGCACAUUUUGAAAGAUACCUUUUAUCUCAGAAACCAAAGUGCCUGCUGCAAGCACCUAUUCCUACAAAUAUAAUGACAACACCAGUGUGUGGGAACCACCUUCUAGAAGUGGGAGAAGACUGUGAUUGUGGCUCUCCUAAGGAAUGUACCAGUCUCUGCUGCGAAGCCCGAACAUGUAAACUGAAGCCUGGAACUGAUUGUGGAGGAGACGCUCCAAACCAUACCACAGAGUGAAUCCAAAAGUCUACUUCACUGAGAUGCUACCUUGCCAGGACAAGAACCAAGAACUCUAACUGUCCCAGGAAUCUCGUGAAUUUUCACCCAUAAUGGUCUUUCACUUGUCAUUCUACUUUCUAUAUUGUUAUCAGUCCAGGAAACAGAUCAUGAAUUUGUGACUUAGUUCUGCCCUUUGGAGAACAAAAGAAAGUAGUCUUCCAUCAAAGCACCUUAAAAUGCACUGGUGAACUAUUCAGAGUGAACACUCCAGAAUUGUUAAAUUACAAGUACUAUGUUUAACACUUCUUUCAUCUUACUAGUAUGGCCUAUAAAAAUAAUACCACUUGAUAGGCGAAGGCUUUGGCAAUAGAAAGAAGAAUAGAAUUCAGGUUUUAUGUUAUUCCUGUGUGUUCACUUUGCCUUGCUCGUGAAAGUGCAGUAUUUUUCUAUAUCAAGAAUGAUUAAAUGUAAAUAUUUUUCAUUCUAUCAUGUAUAUCCUAUUCACACAUCUCCUUCAUCAUCAUAUAUGAAGUUUAUUUUGAGGAGUCUACAUUGCUUACAUUUUAAUUGAGCCAGCAAAGAAGGCUUAAUGAUUUAAUGAACCAUAAUGUCAAUAAAAACACAACUUUUGAGGC